UACGGGGGGGGCAAGCGUUGUUCGGAAUUACUGGGCGUAAAGCGCGCGUAGGCGGCUUUGCAAGUCGGGUGUGAAAUCCCCAGGCUUAACCUGGGAACUGCAUUCGAGACUGCAUUGCUAGAGUAUGGGAGAGGGAAGUGGAAUUUCCGGUGUAGCGGUGAAAUGCGUAGAUAAUCGGAAGGAACAUCAGUGGCGGAAAGCGACUUCCUGGACCAAUACUGACGCUCAUGUGCGAAAGCGUGGGGAGCAAACAGG
rnacentral:rRNA from 1 species